GAUGAACGCUGGCGGCGUGCCUAAUACAUGCAAGUCGAGCGAACGGACGAGAAGCUUGCUUCUCUGAUGUUAGCGGCGGACGGGUGAGUAACACGUGGAUAACCUACCUAUAAGACUGGGAUAACUUCGGGAAACCGGAGCUAAUACCGGAUAAUAUUUUGAACCGCAUGGUUCAAAAGUGAAAGACGGUCUUGCUGUCACUUAUAGAUGGAUCCGCGCUGCAUUAGCUAGUUGGUAAGGUAACGGCUUACCAAGGCAACGAUGCAUAGCCGACCUGAGAGGGUGAUCGGCCACCCUGGAACUGAGACACGGUCCAGACUCCUACGGGAGGCAGCAGUAGGGAAUCGUCCGCAAUGGGCGAAAGCCUGACGGAGCAACGCCGCGUGAGUGAUGAAGGUCUUCGGAUCGUAAAACUCUGUUAUUAGGGAAGAACAUAUGUGUAAGUAACUGUGCACAUCUUGACGGUACCUAAUCAGAAAGCCACGGCUAACUACGUG
rnacentral:rRNA from 1 species